UUUCCGCCGCGCUGCGCGGGCCUGGGAGCUGCCGGAGUGAACCCCGCGGGCGGUUCUGACUCUGCUGUCAGGGUAGGGGACAGAGAGAGAACUUAAGGUCCGUCCAGGGCGAGCAAACGUUAUUACGGAAGAAAGCCGCCCGCGCCCUCCGUAGCCACCUGAGCGGAGGUUCUCACCUAUUGGAGAAACUAAUGGAAUAUUUCAUAUGUCCAUGGUUUAAAAGAAAUCAAAGAGCACACACUGAAAAAUACGGAGACAGCACUACAUGAGUGUAGAGCUGCCAGUGUAACUACUGCGUUACCCAAGAAAGCCGCCUCCAAAAUAUCUGCGGACACGUUCAACUAGAGAUUCAACUACCAAGAAUACAGCUCUGAGGGGACAACACCAACGGUGAAUCUACAAUUAUCUCAAACAAAACUUAACAAAAUUAUGGAAGAAAAUGGAAAGAGAUGGCAGAGACUACAAAUAUGUAUUUACCUCACUCCACAAUGACACUUGGCUCUUAUCCACCUUAGACAAGUAUGAAGAUUUAUUUGGAGGGAGAAGUCUCCUGUGCACUCGAAAGUCUCUAAGGCUGCCUCAAAUUUGAGUCUCAUCAGUACCACUAAGAUCUCUUGUAGAAGGGAGGACUGUUAAAGCUUGUGAGUUACUUUCUUACCUCCAAAAUAGUUAGAUAUUUGCUUUAUUUUUAAGAUAUUCUGUGCUAACUAGUAGACCUUGGGCCAAAGAAUUCAUGAUGUAUUUCAAAGAACAGGCAAAUGUCACAAAUGGUCAUGAUGGAUGAGGUAGAAGCCCCCAGGACAGACUGGAGUACGUGAAACAUGCCCACGGGCACGUGGGUCUGGGACGGGAAGGGAGCAGCAUGGGCGCUGACUCUUAGGAGGGAAGUCAUUCAAGAUCUCAUUCCCUACAAGGCGGACUGCGGCUUGCCUGUCAAGACAGUUGAACAUGCUGCUUCUUCAACGGGUGCACACAAAGGGUUGGACAAAACUGCUUGGAGACUUUCUCGCUUGGUUUGUGGUUACCUCAAAAACUGACAAGGGAUAGUUAUAUAAAAUGUGAACACUGGGGAAGGAUGGAGAGGGACAUAUGGACACUCAUUGUACUAUUUUUGUAGCUUCCAUAAGUAGUUCAAAUAAAAA